AUGUACUUAGCUAGCACAACAAGGCUAGAUAUCUCUUUUGGUGUGAGCAAACUGAGAAGGUUCAUGCGAAACCUGGGUGAUGAUCACUGGCAUGCACUUGAUAAGGUCUUGUGUUAUCUAAGAGUAGUGAUGAGUUAUGUAAUUCACUAUUCAAGGUACAAUGUUGUGCUUGAAGGAUAUAGUGAUUCUAACUGGAUUUCUGAUGUUGAUGUAUUUACUCAUGGAGGUGGCAUAGUAUCAUGGAGGUCAUGUAAGCAGACAAUUUUGAUGAGGACAACCAUGGAAGCAAAACUCACUUCUUUACACACAAACACUAUUGAAGCAGAGUGGCUGGAUGAGCUCUUGAUGGACUUGCAUGUGGUCGAAAAACCAGUGUCGCGUAUUCUUAUGAAUUGUGACAAUCAAACGGUUGUUGUUAAAGUGAAGAAUUCUAAGGAUACUGCAAAGUCAUCCAGGCACGUGAACAAACAUUUGAAGUAUGUCUAG
rnacentral:rRNA from 1 species